GCCUGGCUAGCUCAAUGGCUAGAGCGUUUGACUUUUAAGUUCGGUCUAUGACCUACUUAAGAGGUAUCAAAAGGUUGCGGGUUCGACCCCCGCGUCGGGCU
rnacentral:tRNA from 1 species